AGUUUCUUCACUGCGGUCAGAAUGCCUGUACGAUGAUCCAAGUUGAAUUCAGAUGGAGCAUCAAAGCCUAGCAGGAAUAAAGAACGACUAACACCUGGAUCCAACAUUAGUUCUAUCCCAUGUCAAUUUGCUCAGCGGAAACUCAAAGCCACAGGAACAAUGAAAAAAACUGAAGGCCUUUGCCAUAUUUGAAACUAUGACAUGAAAACAAUGGGAAAAGUGAAAAAGGAAAAUGAAGAUAUACAGCUCCUUAAUUCAUCACCUUGCUAACUUUAGCAUAGAUGUGUCCUAUAUGUUAAAAAAAAAAAAAGUUAGAAGUUUGGGAUAAUUGACCUGUAGUAUACUAAAUUCCAAACCUACUUAAAAUUAUUUCCCUUUGUUUAUAGGGACAAACAGCCUGAAAAAACCCUUUGUUAUCUCUCCCAAAUGGUCUUUCUUUGGUGAUAGCACUGGCUAUCAUUCACAUGUGUGUAUCUCUUAGUAAUAUACUUAAACCCUUUGUUAUCUCUCCCAAAUGGUCUUUCUUUGGUGAUAGCACUGGCUAUCAUUCACAUGUGUGUAUCUCUUAGUAAUAUACUUAAACCUGUAUUACACUAAUGGAUGCAAGUCUAGAAUAAAAUGGCAUCAAGCUUC